GCCACUUUACCUUUAUUAUCUCACUUCACCCUCACAACAACUGAGGAGGCCAGUACUGUUAUCAGCCCCAUUUUACAGAUGGGGAAACCGAGAGGGGGGUUGAGUGCCCAGCGGCGUUUUUCUGUUUUCCUCGGCCACUGUCCCAGUGUUGAUCUGUAACGAACCAUCCAAACGCAGUGACUUACUUCCCAGCUCGCGGAGGGCAGGUUGUCUGGGUUCAGCUGAUCUGAGUUGGGCUCGAUGGGGUGACUCUGUGGAGGGUCACCGGGCUGCCGGGCUUGGCCGCAGGCUGGGGAUCGGCCUCAGGUCAGCCCUGCGAAGCUCUCAUCAGCCCUAGGAGGGCAGCUCCUCGGGGCAGGACCUUCCAGAAGCCAAGAACCAAGCCAGAUCCCACAAGUGCACUUAGGGCCUCUGCGUGGUCAAGCCCACGAGUGCCCCAUUGAGCAGAGCAGGUCACCUGGCCAUCCCACAUCGUUGGGAGGCCCCAUGACAUCACGUGGCAAAAGGGGAAUAAAGAACAGGGAGCCAUGACCCACCAUCAGGCACACGGGGGUGACGACCGAGCUGGGUGCUCACCCGGGCAGCCCAGCUCCAGCCUCCUGGUCUCAAGCACCAGGCUGCUCUGCCCCACAGGCCUGGAGAGGGCUCAGCUUUCAAUCCGGGAGAAUGGGAAGCUGCACUGGGUUGAAUAGCGUUGCCCCUCCCGGAACCUCAGAAUGUGACUUUCUUUGGAAAGAGGGUCUUUGCAGAUGUGAUUAGUUAAGAUGAGGUCGUACUGGGUUCGGGUGACGCUAAAUACAAUGACUAGCGUCCUUGUCUGAAGCCGUGUGAAGACACAAAUGGAGAAGGUCGUGUGACCGUGAGGCAGAGAUGGGAGCGAUGCAUCUACAAGCCAAGGGACCCCAAGGAGGCCGGUCCCCACCAGAAGCUGGAGGGGGCCUGGAACAGAUGCUGCCUCGGAGCCCCAGGAGGGACCGACCCUGCCCCCCAUUUCAGACUUCCGGUUUCCUGAACUUGAGAGACAAAUCACCCCUGUCUGAAGCCACCCGGUUUGUGGUCGUCUGUUGAGCUGCCUCAGUACAGAAGCAGCUAAGGUUCCAGGCAGCGAACACAUGAUCUGAUUUCUGUGUGAAAGGCCCCUGGCUGUGACAGGCAGCCAGCGGAUGCUUCUGUCCCUGAAUUACCUUCUUGAGGAAUUUGCCUCAGCCUGUUCCUGCCUAAGGCCCUCCCAUGAGUUGACCCUCAAAGUUUGGGUCCACCGGCUCCUCAAGCCAUUCAGACCCCUCGUCCUCUGGGAGCUUUCCAGGCCACUGGGCACCCAGCCUCCAGCUCUGUCUCCUCUGAACCAUGUGGCUUUUAGUCUUUUGUCUUUUGGCAUAUUUGUGCCUUUUGUCCCUAUCUUCCUUGGCCAUGUGUCAGGGAUAGAUGACGCCCGACAGCCACAAGUGGCCCCCACAACCACGCAGGCGGAUCCCCCCGCACAGAGCAGGGCCCCUGGCUUGGGGUGUGGAGCAGGCACUUUGUCCUCCUGGGUCUCAGUUCACCCAUCUGCAAAAGGAAUGGGUUUGGCUGAAUGGUUUCCAAGGGCUCCUUCUGACUCGAACAUUCUAUGAUCUAAAUACUUAUUUUGGAAUUCUUGGAAUUCCAUCUUAUGAUUCUUCUUGCUCGUUCAAUUACUCAACAAACACAAACCAAGAACUCACCCUGUGGCUGACCCCGUUCUCAGAGCAGGGAUCCACAGCGAACAGACAGUUUCUUCUCUCACAUGGUUGACAUUCCUGUGGGUGAAAAUGACAACAGAAGGGUAUAAAAUGAGUACAUCAAUUUCACAUGGCGACAAGUUCUGUGCAGGAAGUAGGGACACGACGUGGGUGCCGAGGGCUUCUUUAGACAGGUGGUCAGGGCUGUCCUCUGAGCAGGUGACACCUGAGCAGAGCAUGGAAGGGCAUGAGGGAGCAGGUCAUGGGAGAGCUGAGGGAAGAGCAUUCCAGAAGAGGGGGCAGUACAUGCAAAGGCCCUGAAGCAGGAAGACUUUGGGUGUUGGAGGAAGAGCCGGAAGGCAAGUAUAAAUGAUGAGGCAGUGAAUUUCAGCUCGGUUCAGCCUGUGACGUCUCCAUGUUCACAGACAGCCUCUGUGAGAUUUACGCAGCAUCAGGGGAGCAUCCAGCACACCGUGACCCACACUGAGUCCUGCUGAAGUGACCACAACGUUAAGAUGAGAAACUAUAUCAGCCCCAAUUAAAAGGCAACAUUUUGUUCGCAUCAGAGAAGAUGUUCUCUGUUGGGGUCUUAUUGUUGAAUUUCAACAGAAGUCCCAGAAUUGAGUGCCACUGAAUCGUGUGUUCAUCCUUGAUCCAAUCUCUACGGCCAAGGGUGUGGAAUCCUCCAGUGGGUCAAGCUCACGGCUGUUGCAGAAGAGGAAUCCAGACUCCUGCUUUUGAAACAAGGCCUCGCUGUCGAGGAGCAUGGUGCUGCCGGAACGAAGGAGGAGAGAAAACUCAUCAGUUUCUAGGUGGCCUUUUAGGUUCAGCCUUGGAGGCCGCAUAGCAAGACAAGCCCGCUCAGAUUCAAGGAGGGGGAACACCAUCCCACCUCUCACGGGGGUAGCGUCACCACCCACGGUAAUCAGCUGGACACACAUCCUGAGCUUGGCUUUUCCUCUUUCCCCAUUUCACUCUUUCCAGUCCUCAGAUCACCUCCCUAAAUAACCUCCCUGCCUACAAACCCUUGUCUCAGGCUCUGCUUGUGGGGGAACGCAAGCAAAGACCCCGUUCACAGCCUCAACCUCAAGCAGCUUGGACCCUCCCGGCUCACGGGAUGAGGGUUAGUUUAGACAGAAAUGAGUUCCGCAGUGAACUCGCUUCAGUUAGGACGUGUGCUGGUGUCUGGGAGAAAAGCAAACUCACCCGGGAGUAAAUUUCCACAUCAACGCGUCCUCUGCUUUCUUCCACAAAACCACUUAUCUCCCCCAUUUUAAAUCUCUCCCAUUAGUGGCUGCCUGCAUUCCUUGAACCUUGCAUUAUUUGGAAGAGCUUUUUAAUUAUCUUUUAAUUCUUUCUCAAUUUUCUGAUGCAUCAGCAGGUAUAAAAGGGAGGUGAAAAAUUGCUGCCACUGUUCUCCUUGGCGUCAUAAUCCCGUCAUCGGGGUCUGGGUUGACUCCAGCUGCGCCGCGUCCGAGGGACCCCAUUGAAAAGAAAUCCCCCGGGAGUUUGAAUUUGCUUUCUCUGCUGUUGGCUCACUUCACUCUCAUCUGCCUGGAGCACGGAAAGUUCAGAACUCGAGGUCAAACUCGGUGCUGGUUUAUUUCAAAGCAUUUGCCACUCAGGGCUCAGAUUCCCCCCCCCGCUUCUUAAAAACAGCUACCUGUGACUUUUUAGCACUAAAGAACAGUUCGCAUGCUUAAAAUCUUCACUGAUUCAGAAGUCAUGUCAACGGCACGCUCUGAUCCAUCUACUUGGUCUUACUUAGGGGAAGUUCUUUUAAAAAUAGGUCACAGGCUAAUGAUACGGCUAGGACACCCCCAGACACGAGGACCCCAAAGCUCACCAGGUGGACAGAUGAGACCCAAGAUAGCGUGUCCCUGUGCUGGUUGGAUUCUCAGAAAGCCACCAAAUGGUGCUGUGGGUUGAGAGGGUGGCGCCUGGUCUAUGCGUCAGGACACCUGCACCUCAUCAGCAACGCCAUGCUGAGUGUGCAUUCUGUGCCCAGGAACUCUUCCAGGUGCCCACCAGAUAUUGACCCAUUUGACCCUUCCAGUGCCCUUUGGGGAAGACACUGUUGUCUUCCAUUUCAAGCUCAAACAGGAGAAAACAGCCUCAGAGAGCCCAUGUAAUGAGCUGGUGGGUGGUAUCACCUCUCCUGGAACCUAGAACACCAACCCCAGAGCUUAGACCAAUAACGAUCCAUGUCCUGUGUGGCCACCUCGAAAGGAGCUCUGUUAGGGCAGCCAGAUUUAGCAAAUAAAAGUACAGAUGCCCACCCAGCUAAACGAGGAAUAGCGUUCACGUCAGUCUGCCCCAAAUUUUGGAUGGUCCUGAAUUUUAUCUAACAACCGUGGAUUCUGUUAGCAAGAAAGAAGAGGGGGUGGCUGGUGGAGACAGACAUGCCACUGAAUGUCCAGUGUUGAGAACGUGGCCCCGCACACUGCCAGCCACGGAGGGCCUGGACCAAGCAGGGAGCAUGGACUGUGGGACUCAUGUGGUCACCAUGACACCCAUAAAGAGGAUGACGGAGCAAGACGAAGAGGACAGAAGGAACGGCUUGAAUCGUGUGGCUAUUUCGGGAAAGAAAAUGGUAACCAGCAUCCUGGUGAGGACACUCGGGUCGUCUGAGUCCAUGCUGGCUUUGAACAGAGUCAGCAGGGGGUUUCGAAGACGCCUCAGAAUUAUUGCCUUAUCUAUACCCACUUAAACUAUGAUAUACUUAACUUUUUCUUUAAUUUGACUCAGUUUUUUACAUAAAUAAAUGCAUUCAAACAGAAAACUUGAUAUCACAACUGUGAAAGUAAAAUCACUAUCCCUUUCUAUAAAUUGAAGGGAACUCUUAGGAUAAAUCUAUAAGUUUUUUAAAAAAC
rnacentral:lncRNA from 1 species